rnacentral:rRNA from 1 species
UGGGGAAUAUUGGGCAAUGGGCGCAAGCCUGACCCAGCAACGCCGCGUGAAGGAAGAAGGCUUUCGGGUUGUAAACUUCUUUAGGGUGGGAACAAAGGACGCCACGCGUGGCGAGAUGAGUGUACCACCAGAAUAAGCAUCGGCUAACUCCGUGCCAGCAGCCGCGGUAAUACGGAGGAUGCGAGCGUUAUCCGGAUUUAUUGGGUUUAAAGGGUGCGUAGGCGGUUUGUCAAGUCAGCGGUCAAACUGCGGGGCUUAACCUCGUAUUGCCGUUGAAACUGGCUGACUAGCGUGGCGUCGAGGUGUGCGGAAUGCGUUGCGUAGCGGUGAAAUGCAUAGAUAUGACGCAGAACUCCGAUUGCGAAGGCAGCACACCGGGCGCCUACGGACGCUGAGGCACGAAAGCGUGGGUAUCG